rnacentral:rRNA from 1 species
AUUGAACGCUGGCGGCAGGCCUAACACAUGCAAGUCGAACGGUAACAGGAAGAAGCUUGCUUCUUUGCUGACGAGUGGCGGACGGGUGAGUAACGCGUGGGUAACCUGCCUUGUACAGGGGGAUAACAGUUGGAAACGACUGCUAAUACCGCAUAAGCGCACAGUACCGCAUGGUACGGUGUGAAAAACUCCGGUGGUACAAGAUGGACCCGCGUCUGAUUAGCUUGUUGGUGAGGUAACGGCCCACCAAGGCGACGAUCAGUAGCCGGCCUGAGAGGGUGAACGGCCACAUUGGGACUGAGACACGGCCCAAACUCCUACGGGAGGCAGCAGUGGGGAAUAUUGCACAAUGGGGGGAAACCCUGAUGCAGCGACGCCGCGUGAGUGAUGAAGUAUUUCGGUAUGUAAACUCCUGUUGUUGAGGAAGAUAAUGACGGUACUCAACAAGGAAGUGACGGCUAACUACGUG